UACGUAGGGUGCGAGCGUUAAUCGGAAUUACUGGGCGUAAAGGGUGCGCAGGCGGUUGAUUAAGUCAGAUGUGAAAUCCCCGGGCUUAACCUGGGCAUGGCAUUUGAGACUGGUCGGCUAGAGUGUGUCAGAGGGGGGUAGAAUUCCACGUGUAGCAGUGAAAUGCGUAGAGAUGUGGAGGAAUACCGAUGGCGAAGGCAGCCCCCUGGGAUAACACUGACGCUCAGGCACGAAAGCGUGGGGAGCAAACAGG
rnacentral:rRNA from 1 species